AUUGAACGCUGGCGGCAGGCCUAACACAUGCAAGUCGAGCGGAUGAAGGGAGCUUGCUCCUGGAUUCAGCGGCGGACGGGUGAGUAAUGCCUAGGAAUCUGCCUGGUAGUGGGGGAUAACGUCCGGAAACGGGCGCUAAUACCGCAUACGUCCUGAGGGAGAAAGUGGGGGAUCUUCGGACCUCACGCUAUCAGAUGAGCCUAGGUCGGAUUAGCUAGUUGGUGGGGUAAAGGCCUACCAAGGCGACGAUCCGUAACUGGUCUGAGAGGAUGAUCAGUCACACUGGAACUGAGACACGCGCCAGACUCCUACGGGAGGGAGAAGUGGGGAAUAUUGGACAAUGGGCGAAAGCCUGAUCCAGCCAUGCCGCGUGUGUGAAGAAGGUCUUCGGAUUGUAAAGCACUUUAAGUUGGGAGGAAGGGCAGUAAGUUAAUACCUUGCUGUUUUGACGUUACCAACAGAAUAAGCACCGGCUAACUUCGUG
rnacentral:rRNA from 1 species